GAUGAACGCUGGCGGUGUGCCUAAUACAUGCAAGUCGAACGAGAUCUUCGGAUCUAGUGGCGAACGGGUGAGUAACACGUUGGUACUUACCCCGAAGUAGGGGAAGUAACUGCCCGAAACGGGUAGGCUAAUACCGCAUAAUACCGCAAGGUUAAAGACAGUAAUGCGCUUCGGGAGAGGCCUGCGUCCCAUUAGCUUGUUGGUGAGGUAAUUGCUCACCAAGGCAACGAUGGGUAGCNGGAUCGAGAGGUUGACCAGCCACACUGGGACUGAGAUACGGCCCAGACUCCUACGGGAGGCAGCAGUAAGGAAUCUUCCACAAUGGACGAAAGUCUGAUGGAGCAACACCGCGUGCAGGAUGACGG
rnacentral:rRNA from 1 species